UUUAAAAUGAUUUCUGGGAUAUGUCUCUUUUAGAAUGCAGUACACACAUCUUGAGCUUGUUUGCCAUAUUUGAUGUGCUCCAUGUAUGUGUGAUGAUCAAUGUUUAUAUGUGAAUAAUAGCCUAAAUUAAAUCUGUUCAUCAUAUGCUGCAUUUACAUUACAUAGUUCAAGUAAUCCAAUUCAGAUUAUUUUUCCCACGUGGGAUAGAUCGGAUAUAACCCACAAAGAACAUGGGAAAAGCACAUUGAUUCCGAUAUUCUCAGAUCAGUUUCAGGUCUCAUUCAUAAGUGGAAAUAAAUCUUAUAUGAAUCAGAUAUGUGCAUUUUUGUCUGCCAUAUAAGCAGACAGAUUGGAUAUUCCCCUGUCAGUGCCUCAGAAAAAAAGUGACUCAGGUGGAUGCUUUUCUGGGCAGUUUUGACAAAUAUGAGGUUUUC